rnacentral:rRNA from 1 species
UACGAAGGGGGCGAGCGUUGUUCGGAUUUACUGGGCGUAAAGGGCGCGCAGGCGGCCGCAUUUGUCAGGCGUGAAAGCCCCGGGCUUAACCUGGGAACUGCGUUUGAUACGGUGUGGCUAGAGUUCGGGAGAGGAGAGUGGAAUUCCCAGUGUAGAGGUGAAAUGCGUAGAUAUUAGGAAGAACACCAGUGGCGAAGGCGGCUCACUGGCCCGGUACUGACGCUGAGGCGCGAAAGCGUGGGGAGCAAACAGG